GAUGAACGCUAGCGGCGUGCCUAAUACAUGCAAGUCGAACGAAGCGUGGACGGGUGAGUAACAUGUGGCUAACCUCCUAUAAGACUGGGAUAACUUCGGGAAACCGGUGCUAAUCCCGCAACUUAUACAAUGUUCCGUGCUGCAUUUGCUAGUUGGUAAGGUAACGGCUUACCAAGGCAACGAUUCAUAGCCGACGUGAGAGGAUGAUCAGCCACACUGGAACUGAGACACGGUCCAGACUCCUACGGGAGGCAGCAGUAGGGAAUCUUCCGCAAUGGGCGAAAGCCUGACGGAGCCACGCCGCGUGAAUGAUGAAGGUCUUCGGAUCGUAAAGCUCUGUUAUUAGGGAAGCGGUACCUAAACAGAAAGCCACGGCUAACUACGUGCCAGCAGCCGCGGUAAUUC
rnacentral:rRNA from 1 species